rnacentral:rRNA from 1 species
AUGUGUGCAACGGGGACAGUGUUCAUGUCAUUUCAUAGUUAUGCAUUUUCUGUGAUCCUAAAAUUAGAACUAAUGCUAGCUUCUGCAAAUGGAACAUUCAGAUAUACAAUAGGGAAGAAAAAUUGCGACCCCAUCUUGAUGUUGGUGGAGGUAUAUGUGCUACAAGUCGCUCGACCCCAUGUCGGCACUCGAGGUCUUGGUGUUGGUUGUUUUGGAUUCCGGGGUAGCAAUCCAUCACACUGCUCCUCACCUUUGUACGUGAUGCUCCCUUUUGAAAAUUCUUUCAGAGAAGGAGCAUAUUCCAAUGAAAGGUACAUACGUGCAUCAUCAAUAUUUCCGUUUGAAAGGAUUUCCAAAAUUCAUUCAGGUAGGUCGCCUGUUUUUACUUCAGAAGUUCAGAUUGAUCUAGGUACGCUAUAUAAAAAAUGUAUAACAUACUUAUAA